CCUACGGGAGGCAGCAGUCGAGAAUCAUUCACAAUGGGGGAAACCCUGAUGGUGCGACGCCGCGUGGGGGAAUGAAGGUCUUCGGAUUGUAAACCCCUGUCAUGUGGGAGCAAAUUAAAAAGAUAGUACCACAAGAGGAAGAGACGGCUAACUCUGUGCCAGCAGCCGCGGUAAUACAGAGGUCUCAAGCGUUGUUCGGAAUCACUGGGCGUAAAGCGUGCGUAGGCUGUUUCGUAAGUCGUGUGUGAAAGGCGCGGGCUCAACCCGCGGACGGCACAUGAUACUGCGAGACUAGAGUGAUGGAGGGGGAACCGGAAUUCUCGGUGUAGCAGUGAAAUGCGUAGAUAUCGAGAGGAACACUCGUGGCGAAGGCGAGUUCCUGGACAUUAACUGACGCUGAGGCACGAAGGCCAGGGGAGCGAAAGGGAUUAGAUACCCGGGUAGUC
rnacentral:rRNA from 1 species